rnacentral:ncRNA from 1 species
UAAAAGUUUUAUUCUAGCUAUAGUGUUUUCUAUAAAAUUGUUUCACAUGUAAGAAGUUUCGAGAUAGAUCAUAAUAUCUAAAGGGUAUUAAAUUUUUAUAUUCGCAGUGUUUUAUUUUAAUUGUCAAAGUAAUUUGGAUUUAGUAAUUGUUAUAGUUCCGGCCAAAGUCGUGCCAGCCGCCGCGGUUAUACGAAGGGUGCAAGAAAACAUUAUUGGUAUGUGGUUAAUUUUUUCUAGGAAAGGUUAAAUAAAUUAAUUUGUUGGGUGAAAUUUUAUAUUAUUGAACAGUCCUUUAAUUGAAUUCAAUGAAGUCAUGAAAAUUAGAUGAAAAACUGGGAUUAGAUACCCCAUUAUUCUAAAUGUUAACAUAAAGCCAGAGUAGUAAUAGUUAUGUACUUGAAACUCAAAGAAUUUGGCGGUGUUUUAGUCCAAUCAGAGGAACCUGUCCCUUAAUCGAUAAUCCACGUUUUACUUUACUUAGUUUAGUAGUCAGCUUGUAUACCGCCGUCAUAAGAACGUUUCUGGAGAAAAUAUUCAAGAUUUUACAAUAAAAAGUAUGUCAGGUCAAGGUGCAGUUUAUGGCUAAGUGGUGGUGGGUUACAUUGAUUUUAAUCAAACGGAUUUUGAUUUGUAAAAGUCUAAUGAAGGUGGAUUUGAGUGUAAUAAAAAGGAGAAAAUUUUUAUGAUAAAGGCUCUAAAACAUGCACACAUCGCCCGUCGCUCUCGUUUAUUAAGGCGAGAUAAGUCGUAACAUAGUAGAUGUACCGGAAGGUGUAUCUAGAUUGUC